CGGGCACAGGGGCUGUGGGCGGUUUGGCUUUGCUGAGUGCCGUUCACGCGUAUCAAAGUGCUUCUGGACAAUACGCAAUCCUGCUGCCAAUCUCUCCGCACCCCAAAAAGCUCAAAACUCUAAACACGGUGGGAGAUGGCUUUCAUGGUAAUGAUCAGACUGACCCUAAAUGUGACACCAGGAGCAAGGGAAGGAUUGAUCUGCUCAGAGGAAGAUCUCCGCCAGGCUGACCAGGGAGCAGGGAGAGUGGUAGUGAGUGACCCUCCUCCUCUAACAGGUGUGCGAUGGAGGAGGGAAAGGUUGAACCAGGGGUCCCUGAAAACAGACCAAUAAACUGAAAAAUCUUGUAACCAGACGCUCUAUUCUACCCUCGUGCCCGACUUCAAACAUCUUACACCGCUGGGAAGC